AGAACUAUUGAAUCUGUAAGCACAAAAAAGGGAACAACAUUCAAGGGAUCAAUUUCCAUGUGCUUUCCACUGAAUAAAACGUAGGGAGAGAAGCUGUAUGAGUAAAACGUGACAGCUACUUCUCCCACCAAACACAAUAUACAGGCAGCCCAUCCACAGAACUUGAAAGCGUACGUAGUCUUAGUAGCGGUGGCGCCAUUAUGGAUGUUGUCAAGUGGAUCCACCAUGUGCCUUCUGUGUAUAUAUAUAUAUAUAUGAUUAUAUGAAUGAU